AUGGCGAUUCAGAAAACAACAUCUGGACUGAAACUGCAUCCAGAAGAAGUCCAGAGAAAUUACUACUAUGACUUGAGCUUUGGUUUCCAGUUCUCAUCCUUGCAGCGCCGCUGCUCGGCGAUCAUCGACUCGAAGACGGCCAGGACACGAUCCAACCCCGUCUCGUCCUCCCCGAGCUCCUUCAUGGCGACGACGAUGCUCUCGAUGGUCGACAUGCACCCGGCCUUGGGCUCAUGCCUCACCUCGCCGUACAGGCUGACCCUAUCUGCUUCCACCUUCACGUGCGGCACGAGCUGCAGCCAUGGGUUCUCGUGGUACAUCCGGUGUGCCUUCGCCCAGGUGCCAUCCAGCACGAUCAGAUGUUUCACCAGUACCUGA
rnacentral:rRNA from 1 species